rnacentral:rRNA from 1 species
AUUGAACGCUGGCGGCAUGCCUUACACAUGCAAGUCGAACGGCAGCACGGGAGCAAUCCUGGUGGCGAGUGGCGAACGGGUGAGUAAUAUAUCGGAACGUGCCCAGUCGUGGGGGAUAACGCAGCGAAAGCUGUGCUAAUACCGCAUACGAUCUAAGGAUGAAAGCGGGGGAUCGCAAGACCUCGCGCGAUUGGAGCGGCCGAUAUCAGAUUAGCUAGUUGGUGGGGUAAAGGCCCACCAAGGCGACGAUCUGUAGCUGGUCUGAGAGGACGACCAGCCACACUGGAACUGAGAGACGGUCCAGACUCCUACGGGAGGCAGCAGUGGGGAAUUUUGGGCAAUGGGCGCAAGCCUGAUCCAGCAAUGCCGCGUGCAGGAUGAAGGCCUUCGGGUUGUAAACUGCUUUUGUACGGAACGAAACGGCCCUUUCUAAUACAGGGGGCUAAUGACGGUACCGUAAGAAUAAGCACCGGCUAACUACGUGCCAGCCGCCGCCGUAACAC